CGCUAAGAAGCUAAAUAGAAAACAGCAUUAGCCUUUUAAGCUAAAAAUUGGUGAUUCUCGACCACCCUUGACGA
rnacentral:tRNA from 1 species